rnacentral:rRNA from 1 species
GAUGAACGCUGGCGGCGUGCCUAAUACAUGCAAGUCGAGCGAACGGACGAGAAGCUUGCUUCUCUGAUAUUAGCGGCGGACGGGUGAGUAACACGUGGAUAACCUACCUAUAAGACUGGGAUAACUUCGGGAAACCGUAGCUAAUACCGGAUAAUAUUUUGAACCGCAUGGUUCAAAAGUGAAAGACGGUCUUGCUGUCACUUAUAGAUGGAUCCGCGCUGCAUUAGCUAGUUGGUAAGGUAACGGCUUACCAAGGCAACGAUGCAUAGCCGACCUGAGAGGGUGAUCGGCCACACUGGAACUGAGACACGGUCCAGACUCCUACGGGAGGCAGCAGUAGGGAAUCUUCCGCAAAGGGCGAAAGCCUGACGGAGCAACGCCGCGUGAGUGAUGAAGGUCUUCGGAUCGUAAAACUCUGUUAUUAGGGAAGAACAUAUGUGUAAGUAACUGUGCACAUCUUGACGGUACCUAAUCAGAAAGCCACGGCUAACUACGUG